UACGUAGGGGGCAAGCGUUGUCCGGAAUUAUUGGGCGUAAAGCGCGCGCAGGCGGCUAUUUAAGUCUGGUAUUUAAACCUUGGGCUCAACCUGGGGUCGCACUGGAAACUGGGUGGCUUGAGUACAGAAGAGGAAAGUGGAAUUCCACGUGUAGCGGUGAAAUGCGUAGAGAUGUGGAGGAACACCAGUGGCGAAGGCGACUUUCUGGGCUGUAACUGACGCUGAGGCGCGAAAGCGUGGGGAGCAAACAGG
rnacentral:rRNA from 1 species